UGGGGAAUAUUGCACAAUGGGCGCAAGCCUGAUGCAGCCAUGCCGCGUGUGUGAAGAAGGCCUUCGGGUUGUAAAGCACUUUCAGCGAGGAGGAAGGUGUGAACUUAAUACGUUCAUCAAUUGACGUUACUCGCAGAAGAAGCACCGGCUAACUCCGUGCCAGCAGCCGCGGUAAUACGGAGGGUGCAAGCGUUAAUCGGAAUACUGGGCGUAAAGCGCAGCAGGCGGUUUGCUAAGUCAGAUGUGAAAUCCCCGGGCUCAACCUGGGAACUGCAUUUGAAACUGGCAAGCUAGAUCUCGUAGAGGGGGGUAGAAUUCCAGGUGUAGCGGUGAAAUGCGUAGAGAUCUGGAGGAAUACCGGUGGCGAAGG
rnacentral:rRNA from 1 species